GAGGACAAAUGUGGUACAAACCCCCAAAUUUUUGUCAGUCCUUCAAUCUGCUUGCACCAAAGGCUGGCAAAUCUUAAGGUUUCUAAGAACUCUUAAGGGCAUUAAUAUCAAGCUGUUUUGAAGUGUAACGAUAUUUCAGUAGUUGAUUUUUAAGGCAGAUCUUCUGACUGCAUGAUAUAACUUGUUCUUACUGUUUCUGUAAUAUUUGUUGAUAUUUUUGCCACGUAAUAACCUACUUUAUUAUGAGUAUGUGUCCACAGCAGAUGAGCAGAAUUGCUGAAACUUGGUUUGACGUUGUGCUCCAGACAGUUAUUACUCUAAAGGAAAUAACAAGUUGUUAUGUCUUGAGAACAAGAGAAAAUACAGGAUUGUGAACAAAGUGAGGAACUCUUACUGGACAAAAACUAGAGGGAGCUGCUACACAACUUCUCAUUGCUCACGAGGUAUGUUUGCACUCCUGAGAAUGCUCCUGCCAAUGUCACUGAAGGCCAUAUAAGCCUGCAAACAAAAAAACCUCAACUGUAUCGAGUCCUGCCCUAUUAAAGGGUAAAAAUACCACCAGACAGCAGUAAGGUAAUCCAUAGGGAAUGACUUUAAAAUUUUUAAGAGGUUACUAAGUUUGAACAUAAUUAUUUAAAAUGUCAAAGAUUCAGUUGUAGUUUGCAGCUCUAAGUAAUUUCAAAAGAUGCACUUAUGUGCUUUUAAUAUGGAGCUUUCCUUGCUAUAGGUCAAAAAUUUGUACAGAUUAAAUGCUUUCUAAUUCUUUCACAGCAGGUUAAAAUUCAUCUGAAUAAGUGGCACAAAGAUUGUUUUCCUGUUCUUUAAUAUAAGUGAUCAACUUCUUACUUGUUAUAAGUGCAUGUUGUGGGAUACUCUUAAUCUCUUGCUGAGUGUGUGCCUUCUCUGUAUUGUAUUUGGUUCUCAAUUGUUUUAAUGCUCAGCACUUCAUUUGCUUUAAGUUCAGAAAUUGCAGUCUUGUGAGAGGGAGAAUGUGCCACAUGUGUGCUUUUCUUUGUCUAGAAAUUAAGAAUGCUGGUAAGACAUUCAGUGGGCCAUUCAGUGGGACAAAGUAAGACAUUCAGUGGAAUUGAAGCACAGUCCUUUGGACAGCAAGAUGUCCCCAAGCACCACUUGAGUUCUUGUUGCCUGGUGAGCUUGUGGCUACUGCUUCUGCUGUCCUGGAACCCUUCUUGUCUCUAUAACAGUUUUUCUGUUCUCAGCCUCACACUGUAACUGCAUUGCAUUGUGGUCAGAGUGUAACUCGGUGCCAUCUUUUGCAGCAGUGUCAUAAGUUGUUGGCCUUUUGGCUUAGAGAACUGAAGUGGAAAUGUGUUAGAAAGCAAUACUUAGAUGUACUGGAAAACAGUGCUUGUGGUCAUUCCUUCUGAAUGAGGCUAGGGGAGAAAGGUACAUCUAGAAGGCAGCUUGUGCUCUCAGCACCCCAAAACUGACCUUACUCCAGAAGAAUUGUCAAAAAUGUGUAUCUCUACUUUUGGGACUUACAAUAGCCUCAGGAUAAACAUACUGUGCUUAUCAUAUACCUCUCUUUUAAAUGAUUUAUGUCUUCCCUGAUACUUGAACUUUGAUAAAAGGCAGUAGUAUUUUUCAGUAGUAGUCACGAGUUAAUUUUUGGUCAACUUACCUGGAG
ensembl:lncRNA